AUGCAAGUCGAGCGGAAGGCCCUUCGGGGUACUCGAGCGGCGAACGGGUGAGUAACACGUGAGUAACCUGCCCCAGGCUUUGGGAUAACCCUCGGAAACGGGGGCUAAUACCGGAUAUGACUUCUGACCGCAUGGUUGGGGGUGGAAAGUUUUUCGGCUUGGGAUGGGCUCGCGGCCUAUCAGCUUGUUGGUGGGGUGAUGGCCUACCAAGGCGACGACGGGUAGCCGGCCUGAGAGGGCGACCGGCCACACUGGGACUGAGACACGGCCCAGACUCCUACGGGAGGCAGCAGUGGGGAAUAUUGCACAAUGGGCGAAAGCCUGAUGCAGCGACGCCGCGUGAGGGAUGACGGCCUUCGGGUUGUAAACCUCUUUCAGCAGGGACGAAGCGCAAGUGACGGUACCUGCAGAAGAAGCGCCGGCCAACUACGUGCCAGCAGCCGCGGUAAGACGUAGGGCGCGAGCGUUGUCCGGAUUUAUUGGGCGUAAAGAGCUCGUAGGCGGCUUGUCGCGUCGACUGUGAAAACCCGCAGCUCAACUGCGGGCUUGCAGCCGAUACGGGCAGGCUAGAGUUCGGUAGGGGAGACUGGAAUUCCUGGUGUAGCGGUGAAAUGCGCAGAUAUCAGGAGGAACACCGGUGGCGAAGGCGGGUCUCUGGGCCGAUACUGACGCUGAGGAGCGAAAGCGUGGGGAGCGAACAGGAUUAGAUACCCUGGUAGU
rnacentral:rRNA from 1 species